CGAGAAGACAGUGCCAGGAGGCUGGAGAGGAGAGCGCGCCGAGUGUCCGCAUGCCUGUCGGAUUAUUCGCUGGCGAGCGAUAGCGGGGUAUUUGAGCCUCCAAACAAAAGGAGUGAAGAUGCUGACGAGUCUGCGCCUGGAGACACCUGUGGGAACGAAGGGCCCCAGAUCCACGUGGGAUUCUUGCUUGACAGCGCCAACGAGUGUCUUCUCGUGAACGUGCUCCAGCUGAAGAACGUGGCGGGGCUGGUCCUGAA